AAAGCAUAAUCUAAUAAGCCGGUUCACAAUUGCAGGUAUCGAUCCCAAUAAGUAAGACAAUGAAAGCAAAAGAGAGUGAAAAUAGGGAAAAGCCAUCACAGAAGUAUAUACAAGUAAUUACAGAGGAUGAUUUUGAGUUCUGGUUUAUGGGAUUCCUUAAUCAUCAAAAAACUCUGAGAUAUCUGCAGCAGGCAAUUUCAAGUAGUUCAAGCAGCUAAGAAGACAGCUUCUUCUUCAUUAGGAAAUACGCCAAUUCAUCAAUGUAAAAUAUAGAUGCAAAAAUGAAUGUAAAGAUCUUUUCAAACUUGUAAUUAGCUCAAUUCCUCAAAGGAGGCUUUAGGUUUCUUAGGCUUUGAGCUGUUGCUGCCAACACAAAUGUAUAGAAUUAUUGUAAAACUAAUGCAGUCAGAAGGCUAAUUCAUCUUUUGGGACUUGGCAUAGUCAGCACUUCCUAAGUGAACACUUGAGUAGCAGAUCAAAAUGCUCCUCGAGUAGCAUAUUUAAAAUAUUAUGUUAAGUUCCCAACAAAGGGAGCUCCCCUUGAUAAUAGAAAUACAGUAAAUAACAGAUGGUAACAGAUAAAUAUAUCAAGAAACUACAUGAAUAAGACUAAUACUACAACCAACACGGUGCUCCAGACUACCAACAAGCCUAAUCCCGUCAAAAAACAAGACAACGCUCCAAUGCUUACUAGUCUUCUACCCUAAUCUGCAACGUUCAUACCCUCCUAUCUAAGGUCAUGUAUUCAGUACGCUGAAGUUGCAUCAUGUCUGAUUUGAUCACCUCUCCCCAAUACUUCUUUCGUCUACCUCUACCUCUCCUUGUACCCACUAUAUCCAACAUCUUACACUUGGUCAUUGGGGCAUCUACAAAUCUCCUUUUUCACAUGCCCAAACCAUCUCAGUGUUGCUUCUCUCAUCUUGUCCACCACAAAGGGAACUCCCACCUUGUUCCCGAUAUCCUCAUUCCUAAUCUAUCGCUCUUAGUAUGCCCACACAUCACAUCUAUCUCAACAUCCUCAUUUCCGCAACUUCCAUCUUUUGAAAUGAGAGUUCUUGACUGACCAAGACUUUGCCCCAUACAACAAAGUUUGUCUAACUAUCACUCUACAAAACUUACCUUUAAGUUUUGAUGGUACCUUUUCAUCACAUAAGACUCUAGAGGCAAGCUCCAUAUCAUCUACACCAACUACUUAACUUUAAUGUCAUGUAUAAAUCCGUGUCAUUAUCUUGUCAACCUUGAUCAUACAAGACUGAUAAAGCUAACUUGAGAUAAAUCUUUUACUCAACUAGUAAAAGAAGCAUACAUCAGAAAGUAAAUCUGCCAACUCAAAAGUUGACAACACCACAUGUGCAAACAAAUCUUAAUAAUAAAAUAAGGCAGCAUGAGAUAGUUUACUGUAAUUAAAAAGACAAAUAAAAGAAGACAUUUUAAAAACCUUUGCAGCAAAUUGAGAAAUAUUCUAUUUUGCUGACCCAUAGCUGACUCAUGCAAACAGUUAAUAGUUAAAAGAUUCAUCAACUUUGCCCAAACUGCAGUGUAUAUAUAUAGUGCUGCAAGGAAUGUUCUUAAACCAUCAACCAUAACAUAAUAAUAUCUCAGUUACCUUCACAAUAUAGCAACUCUCUUCAAAAUCCGAAGUCACAAUGAAGAACUUACUCGGUAGAAAUGAGGUGGGUGUUCCCAUGAGUUCAGCAGUAUACUCAUUUGAACGGCAGCCAAACAGACUACUGUCUCUAUCUGCCUGUCAAGACCGUCUUCCAUCCGAAACUUCAAAACACUUACCUAAAAUAAAGCAAAGUAAGUUUUUUCCCUCGAAGAAUAUUCGACUUGUUCAUGUACUAGUUAUAGAGAGUAUUAAUGACCCUCGAAGAAGAGAUCUCUAAAAUUAGCUAUUCUUGAAUAUGCAGGAAAAUCUGUAAUUAGUAAGAUGAACAAACUUGGAGAAAGGAUGGACUAUCUUGCACAAGGCAUCCGCGAGCAUGGUGAGCAUUUAUAUUCAAGAUGAAGACUUAAAAAAACAAUCGAAAAUUUACCGUGACAAUAUUUUAUUUAAGUUUAAAACUAGUAUUUCGAAGUUGAAAUUGUGUGCGGACAUGAGUUUACUUGGAAAAGAAAAGGUUGAAGUAUUUUGAAUGAAAACUAUCAUCUUACUAGAAAAAUUCCUAAAAUAAGUUUUUAAAUAAUUUUACCACUAUUUCAUAUACUGAAGUUCAAUAGUUAUAAAUAUGGAGCCAAACAUCAACUUUCAAAUAAUGACAUCAGUAUUUGCAAGUGAAAUCAUGGCCAAACACAGGUCGUAAUCUAAUCAUCAACAGAUAAAGACAGCCAAGAUGUACAAAAUUUUGUGCAAUAAGCACUAUUAAUAUGUAUGACAGAAAGUACUGAGUGUAAAGUCCUUAAUGUUUCAACUUUAAUUCUGCAGUGAGCCUUGGUCCGAAGCUAACGGAAACUGUGAAGGGAAAAUUGUGCCUUGGAGCAAAAAUUCUUCAAGUAGGAGGGUUGGAGAAAAUAUUCAAACAGAAGUUUAGUGUUAAAGAUGAUGAAGAGCUAUUGAAUGUUUCUCAAUGCUAUUUAUCAACGACAGCUGGUCCAAUAGCAGGCCUUCUCUUCAUCUCUACCGAUAAGAUUGCGUUCUGCAGUGAGAGAUCAAUCAAGUUCUUAUCUCCAACUGGAAAGUUGCUUAGAAUCUACUAUAAGGUACCACUCUGCUCCAUAUUCCAACUCUUAAUUUUGUAUCCACGUAAAGCAUAAUCUAAUAAGCCGGUUCAUAAUUGCAGGUAUCGAUCCCAAUAAGUAAGACAAUGAAAGCAAAAGAGAGUGAAAAUAGGGAAAAACCAUCACAGAACUCUGAGAUAUCUGCAUCAGAGGAUGAUUUUGAGUUCUGGUUUAUGGGAUUCCUUAAUCAUCAAAAGACUCUGAGAUAUCUGCACCAGGCAAUUUCAAGUACUUCAAGCAGCUAAGAAGACAACAUAUUUUCGUUUCUUUUUUCAUUUUUUUUCUUAUUACACCCAUUCAUCAAUGUAAAAUGAAUGUACAGAUCUCUUCAAACUUGUAAUUAGCUCCAUUGUUCAAAGGAGAUUUUAGGUUUCUUAGUCUUUGAGUCGUAGCUGUUAACACGAAUGUAUACGCAUAUUGUAAAAGUAAUGCAGUCAGAAAGCUAAUUCAACUUUUGGGACUUGGCAUUGUCAUCACUUCCUAGCAGAUCGUAAUGCUCCUCGAAAAACAUAUUCAAAAUUUUAUGGCAAGUUCUCAACAAGGGGAGAGAUUAUCCUCCUUUAGGUAUAGACAGUCCAUAGAAAAAUAAGAAGAGGAAUGUGUUCUAAAUCCAAAUGCUCUUGGAUGGGUAGUCGAAUUGGGGGAUAAAUCUUUUUUGCUCCUUUAUAUAGAAUCUAAUCAAUCACUUUGAGAUCAUGAGAACCUUGUGAUUUGAUAUAAAUUUCAUUUAUUUUAUUUUAUCAGGUAAAUAUUUUCAUUAUUAACAAGGCCAAAAAAGGCCAUAUACAAGAGGUAUACCAACCAGUAAAGGACCUACACAAAGAUAUGGUUCUUUACAAAGGACACAUAAUCCUCUAUACAACCCGUAACUACACGGGUGCACCAAAAACAAAUAAGGGAUUGGAGACUACUCUUCAACUGCCAAAAACUCAAUUCUACCCCUUUGAAAGACCUCAAAUUUCUCUCUCAGACGAUCCACAUCAAUGCCCUAGGAACAACAUUCUAGGCCCUGCAUUUUCUCCUGCUUCUUCCAGCUUUCCAGUAAAACAACAGUUCUUUCACAGUUCUCGGCAUUCCCCAUGACAUUACAAAUCAGCUUAACAUGUCCUACCAUGGUCCCAUGGCCAAGCUACAAUGUAGCAGAAGAUCAUCUACGUCUUCGUCCCAUCUCCUCGCAUAAGUAAUACCAGCUGAUGCAAAUAACUUUUGUUUUCCUAAGGUUCUUUGUCGUCAAGAUCACCCGUCUAGCAGCUAACCAAGUGUAAAAGCACACCUUCCUCGGAACCUUGGGAAUCUGAAUAGACUUAACAGGAAAACCCUCCUUAACCCUCACUAAAAGCUUCUCACCGAAGACUUGAUAGGAAAAACACCAUUGUUUCCCAACCUCCAUCUUAUCGAAACGGUUCUGUCACCUGCCUCACAAUGCUGACGGAGUACCAGUAGCAUCCUUUCAAACUCAUUCACCUCCCAAUCCUGGAAAGCUCUCCUAAACCUCAAAUCCCAAAAUGUUACUUCUGCUUGUCCCCGGGGACAUCUGUUGGCUACCGCCUCCCUAUGACAAGAUAUCCAAUAAAAGCUUGGAAACUCAACUUUAAGCGACAUGUCUCCCACUUUUCUUACCCGAGUCUUGGAUCUAUUAUACAUGUCCUUCAUCGCCUUAAUGUAAGCCCCCAAGACACCUUUAGCCUCCAAACAUCAACAUAUGACUUCCCUCGGGACUUUUGUCUUAUGCCUUUUCUAGGUCAAUAGACACCAUAUGUAAGUCCCUCUUCCAUUCCUAUACUUCUCCUCUAGUCAACUCACAAGAUGAAUGGCUUCUGAGUAUGUUGGUAAUAUGUGAAGGGAUUAAAUUGAACACACAUUUGUCUAUUAAGAGAAUGGCUUUUCCAGAAAGUUCGUGUAAAAUAGCUUGCAAUAUACUAGGCACUCUUUUUUUCUCAAUGUUGUUUCCUAUUUCUCUAAACAGAAAAUACAAGCACUUUUUUAUCUUAAAUUACCUUCUAAAAAUACUUGACAUUUCUCUCAUGAUUUUUCAAAGGCAACAGUUGGUGUAGAAGAAGAUAAGUUAAAUUACUCAAAAAAAUUAUAUCAUUUGUCAUGCAUGUAUGGUAUGUUCCACAUAAAUACAGAAAUGGCCUACAAAACCUGCCUUUACACCUCAAGAUGAUGAGACGAAAAAAAAGGUCAGAUAAGGUAACUGCGUUAAAAGAGAAAUUAUUAUAAUCUAGAACAGUUGGCCCUAUGUAACAGGUUGAAAUAGUUGAAUGGCUACUUUUCCCCUUUGCCUGAUUUAUUGAGCAGCAAAUCAAAGUUCAUAGAUGACUCAUUCAUGAUCAACAACCACUACUUAACUUUAAUGUCAUUAACCCGUGUUAUUAUGUUGUCAACCUAGAUCAUACAAAACUAAUAAAGCUACCUUGAGAUAAUUUUACUAUGCACCAAAAAGCUUCUCUUACUUUUACUCAACUUGUAAAAGCAGGUUACAUCAGAAAGCAAAUCUUCCAACUCAAAAGUUGACAACACCACAUGUGCACAUAAAUCUUAAUAGUAAAAUAAGGCAGAAUGAGAUAGUUUACUGUAAUUGAAAUGACAGCUAAAAGAAGACAUUUUCAAAAUCUUUGCAGAAAAUUGAGAAAUAUUCUAUUUUGAUGACCCAUAGCUGACUCAUGCACCAAUUAGUAGUUAAAAGAUUCAUCCACUUCUCCCAAACUGAUGUGUAUAUAUAUAGUGCUGCAAGGAAUGUUCUUAAACCAUCAACAAAAAACGUAAUAAUAUCUCAGUUACCUUCACAAUAUAGCAAUUCUCUUCAAAAAUCAGAAGUCACAAUGAAGAACUUACUUGGUCGAAAUGAGGUUGGUGUUUCCAUGAGUUCAGCAGUAUACUCAUUUGAACGGCAGCCAAAAAGACUACUGUCUCUAUCUGCUUGCCAAAACCAUCUUCCGUCUGCAACUCUAAAACACUUGUCGAAAAUAAAGCAAAGUGAGUAUUUUACCUCGAAGGAUAAUCAUUUUGUUCUUGUAUUAGUUAUAAAGAGUAUUAAUGACCCUAGAAGAAGAGAUCAUUAAAAUUAUAUAUUCUUGAAUAUGCAGGAAAAUCUGUAAUUAGUAAGAUGAACAAACUUGGAGAAAGGAUGGACUGUCUUGCACAAGGCAUCCGUGAGCAUGGUGAGCACUUAUAUUCAUGAUGAAAACUUAAAAUGAACAAUCGAAAAUUUACCAAGACAAUAUUUUAUUUAAGUUUAAAACUAGUAUUUCGAAGUUGAAAUUGUGUGCGGACAUGAGUUUACUUCGAAAAGUAAAGGUUGAAGAAUUGUGAAUGAAAACAAUCAUCCCACAAGAAAAAUUCCUAAAACAAGUUUUUAAAAUAAUUUUACCACUAUUUCAAAUACUGAAGUUCAAUAUUUAUAAAUAUGGUGCCAAACAUCAACUUUCAAAUAAUGACAUCAGUAUUUGCAAGUGAAAUCAUGGCCAAACACAAGUGCAAAUCUCAUGACAACGGAUAAAGGGCGUCAAGAUGUACAAAAUUUUGUGCAAUAAGCACUAUUUACAUGUAUGACAGAAAGUACUGAUGUGAAGUCCUUAAUGUUUCAACUUUAAUUGUGCAGUGAGCCUUAGCCCGAAGCUAACGGACACUGUGAAGGGAAAAUUGAGCCUUGGAGCAAAAAUUCUUCAUGUAGGAGGGUUGGAGAAAAUAUUCAAGCAGAAGUUUAGUGUUAAAGAUGACGAAGAGUUAUUGAAUGUUUCUCAAUGCUAUUUAUCAACUACAUCUGGGGCAAUAGCAGGCCUUCUCUUCAUCUCUACCGAUAAGAUUGCUUUCUGCAGUGAGAGAUCAAUAAAGUUCUUAUCUCCAACUGGAAAGUUGCUUAGAAUCUACUAUAAGGUACCACUUUUCUCCGUUUUUCUUCCAACUCUUAAUUUGUAUCCACGUAAAGCAUAAUCUAAUAAGCUGGUUCACAAUUGCAGGUAUCGAUCCCAAUAAGUAAGACAAUGAAAGCAAAAGAGAGUGAAAAUAGGGAAAAGCCAUCACAGAAGUAUAUACAAGUAAUUACAGAGGAUGAUUUUGAGUUCUGGUUUAUGGGAUUCCUUAAUCAUCAAAAGACUCUGAGGUAUCUGCACCACGCAAUUUCAAGUACUUCAAGCAGCUAAGAAGAUAAAACAUUUUUUUCAUUUUUUUUUCCUAAUACGCCCAUUCAUCAAUGAAUGUACAGAUCUCUUCAAACAUGUAACUAGCUCCAUUCCUCAAUUGAGGCUUUUGAGUUUUUUAGGCUUUGAGCCGUAGCUGUCAACACAAAUGUAUAAAUUUAUUGUAAAAUUAAUGCAGUCAGAUUCAUCUUUUGGGACUUGGCAUAGUCAUCACUUCCUAUUUGACCGUUUGAGUAGCAGAUCGUUACGGGAACCCAAAUUUGAGGUAGUGUUCAUUCUAACAUAACAAGUUCAAUGGGUAAUAACAAGGUACUUUGUGUUGUUAAAGCACUUAUCCCUCUUAUAGAAAAUGACUGUAAUGCAUAUUACUCUCUGAGGAGCUAAGGUAUUGUUAAAUAGCUGAUAUAACAGGAAACAGUGACAAACUCUAUAAUGCAACCUGUUACCAUAAAAAGUUGGAUAAAUUCUUAAAGGGAUUAGUAAAUGUCUAGAGUAGCAGGGUACAUAUUAACUAACUCCACUUAUAUAAAUACUAGUUUUACGGAACGUGCGUUACACGUUUAACUCAAAGUACAUAAUACAAAUCUUAUAUUGCAAAUGAUAUAGUUAAAUAAUAUAUAUUUUAUUUCACUUUUUCAGUACAAUAAAAUAAAAAUCAAAACAUAUAAAAAAAGUAACAACUCAUAAGUUAAAGGCUAAAAAAUCUUACAAACAUGAUACAUAUUUUAGUGACAUAUAACACCUUAAUUUAAAUACUCAUUGAAUAGACAAUAAGAAAUAAACUGAUGCGCAUAUAUUGAAUCCCAUCAUGAUCAAUCCAAAUACACAAAAAUCUUAUAAAAUUUGCUUCGGCUCAACCACAUGUACAUUAAAAAGUAAGAAAGUAGAAAAGGGAGAUAAUUGUAUAUUAAUUAGUAUAGCGACAUAAACCUAAAAAUAUGAUAACAUUAAGUUAUCAAUUAAUAUACUUUGUUAAUUAAGUACCUGAAACUAAAAUUAGUGGAGAAGAAGAAAUUAACUAAAUAAGAAGAGCUUGUGCAGACUGUAGUGAGAAAAAGAUCAUAACUCAUAAGCACAAAUAGAGAUCUUUAAUAAGAACAAUGAAAAUUGAAAUGCAAAUGAUGAAUCAGUUGGAAGGGAAUAGAAAAUAAUAAUAAUAAUAAUAAUAAUAAUAAUAAUAAUAAUAAUAAUAAUAAUAAUAAUAAUAAUAAUAAUAAUAAUAAUAAUAAUAAUAAUAAUAAUAAUAAUAAUAAUAAUAAUAAUAAUAAUAAUAAUAAUAAUAAUAAUAAUAAUAAUAAUAAUAAUAAUAAUAAUAAUAAUAAUAAUAAUAAUAAUAAUAAUAAUAAUAAUAAUAAUAAUAAUAAUAAUAAUAAUAAUAAUAAUAAUAAUAAUAAUAAUAAUAAUAAUAAUAAUAAUAAUAAUAAUAAUAAUAAUAAUAAUAAUAAUAAUAAUAAUAAUAAUAAUAAUAAUAAUAAUAAUAAUAAUAAUAAUAAUAAUAAUAAUAAUAAUAAUAAUAAUAAUAAUAAUAAUAAUAAUAAUAAUAAUAAUAAUAAUAAUAAUAAUAAUAAUAAUAAUAAUAAUAAUAAUAAUAAUAAUAAUAAUAAUAAUAAUAAUAAUAAUAAUAAUAAUAAUAAUAAUAAUAAUAAUAAUAAUAAUAAUAAUAAUAAUAAUAAUAAUAAUAAUAAUAAUAAUAAUAAUAAUAAUAAUAAUAAUAAUAAUAAUAAUAAUAAUAAUAAUAAUAAUAAUAAUAAUAAUAAUAAUAAUAAUAAUAAUAAUAAUAAUAAUAAUAAUAAUAAUAAUAAUAAUAAUAAUAAUAAUAAUAAUAAUAAUAAUAAUAAUAAUAAUAAUAAUAAUAAUAAUAAUAAUAAUAAUAAUAAUAAUAAUAAUAAUAAUAAUAAUAAUAAUAAUAAUAAUAAUAAUAAUAAUAAUAAUAAUAAUAAUAAUAAUAAUAAUAAUAAUAAUAAUAAUAAUAAUAAUAAUAAUAAUAAUAAUAAUAAUAAUAAUAAUAAUAAUAAUAAUAAUAAUAAUAUAUGAAUGAUAUGAUGAUGAUAUAUACAUUGUUUUAUCUAUCAUAACUUUUCAAAAUUUUCCAUUGAGAAUUAUGAUCAUGAUUUAAAACAAUAUCAAUGUACUCAUUUAUCAAGAAAAUAACAAUUUAAUUAUUAAAUGGCUUAAGGACUUAAAUUCUACCAUUAUGUAACUAAAUUAUUUGUAUUUAAUUAAAUAAUUAAUCCAAUUUUUAUUUAGUAAAAGGACAAAAUGGUAAUUCAACUUUUCACUUUGAAGCUUCCCACUUAUAAUAAUAUAUGAUUGAAGCAGUGCCGCUUCAAAUAAGAUCUAAAAGGUUGGUCUUGUAAAUAUUAACGGGAUCAAGACUGAGUAGAUGGUCUUAAAAGUGCUAAGAGCAAAUACUGGUUAGUUUGCUACUAAAUAUUAUUACGUGUGUGGUACUCCCAGCUUGACAUAAUAAAACAUUCAAAUCUUAGGAUACCAUAUACUUGGUCAAACUUUAAAAUUUUACACUAAUGGAAAGUUCAAAUCUAUAUAAGAUACUUUCUGGUAUGUAUGAUUUUAUAAGAUAUAUUACAAAUUAUCUGGGGAUUGUGUUUUUUUUUUCUUGAGAAAGGUAACAUUUACUUCUAUAUAUCCACAGAUUCAUCAAAAGACUCUGAGAUAUCUGCACCAAGCAAUUUCAAUUCUUUUUUCUUUUCUUAUUUUUUCUUCUUAUGCGCAUUCAUCAAUGUAAAAUGUUGAUGCAAAACGAAUGUACAGAUCUGUUCAAACUUGUAGUUAGCUCCUUUGCUCAAAGGAGAUUUUAGGUGUUUUAGGAUUUGAGUUGUUAACACAAAUGUAUAGACUUAUUGUGAAAGUAAUGCAGUCAGAAGGCUAAUUAAUCUUUUGGGACUUCGCAUCGUGAUCACUUCCUAGCAAAUCGCACUGUUACUCGAAAGACAUAUUUAAGAUAUUAUGGAAAGUUUCCAACAAGGGGAGCCCCCUUAAUAUUUUUCACCUCAAGAAUUUCUUAGGCAGAAUUCGCAUAAUUAAUACUGUGAGGAUUGAGCUGUCAAAAGAGAUUAUCCAAAUGCUCUUGGAUGGGUAGUCGAAUUGGGGGAUAAAUCUUUUUUUCUCCUUUAUAUAGAAUCUAAUCAAUCUUUUAGAGAUCAUGAGAACCUUGUGAUUUGAUAUAAUUUAUUUAUUUUUAUCAGGUAAAUAUUUUCAUUAUUAACAACACCAAAAAAGGGCAUAUACAAGAGGUAUACCUACCAGUAAAGGACCUACACAAAGAUAUGGUUCUAUACAAAAGACACCCAAUCCUCUAUACAACCCGUAACUACAUGGGUGCAAAAAACAAAUAAGGGAUCGGAGACUACUCCUCAACAGCCAAAAACUCGAUUAAUGCCAUAGGAACAACAUUCUAUGCCCUGCACCUUUCUCCUGCUUCUUCCAGAUUUCCAGUAAAACAACAAAUCUUUCACAAUUUUUGGAAUUGCCCAUGACAUUACAAACCAGCUGAACAUGUCCCACCACAGUCUCGUGGCCUAGCUACAAUGUAGCAGAAGAUGAUUUACGUCUUCGCCAGCCUCCUUGCAUAAGUAAUACCAGCUGAUGCAAAUAACUUUUGUUUUCCUAAGGUUCUUCGACGUCAAGAUCACCCCUCUAGCAGCUAACAAAGUGAAAAGGCACACCUUCCUCGGAACCUUGGGAAUCCGAAUAGACUUAACAGGAAAACCCUCCUCAACUCUCAAUAAAAGCUUCUAAUAGAAGGCUUGACAGAAAAAACACCAUCGUUUCCCAACUUUCAUCUCGUCGAAUCGGGCCUGUCAGCUGCCUCGCAAUGCUGAUGCAGUAACAGUAACAUCCUUUCAAACUCAUUCACCUCCCAAUCCUGGUGAGCUCUCCUGAACCUCAAAUCCUAAAACACUACUUCCCCAUGUGUCCCUGGGGACAUCUGUUGGACUACUGCUCCCAGCUAAAAACUUUCCCGACAGUCACUCAAGCACUUUCACAUAACAAAAAAGCAAAGUGUAUCGUAUCUCAUUCCAUCCGAAUAGGUUUCAAAGCAAUCAGUACAGCGCAACAGAGGAGCCCAUUCAGUAUCGUCUUUGUUUGUGAAUAUUAAUGUGUCCUAUCUUCAUGCUAUAUUAUUCCCAUUGAUUGUGAUCAAACUGUGUUCCGAGUGUCUUUAUAGAGAAGAGAGAAAUCUUCCCUUAAGAUAGUCAGGGAUAAACCGCUCUACAGAACAGGGGACAGGAAGGGAAGUAAAAACCCCGAUAAGAUUAAGCAAUCAGCCGCUGUCACUGACCGGGACACAGAUACAAAUGGUGGAGUACUAUUCUACCACAACGAGACAGGAAUCAUCGAAUCGAAGGUCGAAUAGAAAGCAUUCCCCCCAGUUGAGAGGCUCCAUUUGACAAGACAUCCCAUAAAAGCUCGGAAACUCAUCUUUAAGCCACAUGUCUCCCACUUUUCUUACCCGAGUCUGGGCUCUAUUAUCUGUGUCCUCCAUUGUGUUAAAGUAAUCCCCCAAGACAUCGUUAGCCUCCCGACAUCUACAUAGGACUUCCCUUGGGACCAUAUGUAAGUCCCUCUUCCAUUCCUAAACUUUUCCUCCCUCUAGUUAUCUCACAAGAAGAAUGGCUUCUGAGUAAGUUGGUAAUAUGUGAAGGGAUAAAAUUGAACACACAUCUGUUUGUAACAGAGAAAGACUUCCCCGAAAAGUUAGCGUAAGAUAGCUUGCAAUAUACUAGGCACUCUUUCUUUUUCAAUGUUUCCCUAUUUUCUAACAGAAAAUACAAUCACUUUUGUUCUUAAAUUACCUUCUAAAAAUACUUGGCAUUUCUCUCAUGAUUUUUUCAAAAGCAAAAGUUGGUCAAGAAGAAAAUAAGUUAGAUUACUCAAAAAAUAUUAUAUCAUUUGUCAUGCUUGUAUGGUAUGUUCCACAUAAAGUCAGAAAUGGCCUACAAAUCCUGCCUUUACAAGUCAAGAUGAGAUGCUAAAAAGGGCAAGAUAGGGUAACUGCCUUAUAAGAGAAGCUAAUAUAAACUAGAACUGUUGGCCCUAUGUAACACAUUGAAAUAUUUGAAUGGAUCCUCUUUUUCCUUUGCCUGAUCUAUUAAGCAACAAAUCAACGUUCAUGGAUGACUCAUUCAUGACCCACAACCACUACUUAACUUUAAUGUCAUAUAUAAAUCCGUGUCAUUAUCUUGUCAACCUUUGUCAUACAAGACUAAUAAUUUUACUAUGCACCAAAAGCCUUCUCUUACUUUUACUCAACUUGUAAAAGCAGCUUACAUCAUAAAGAAAAUCUUCCAACUCAAAAGUUGACAACACCACAUGUGCACACAAAUCUUGAAUAAUAAACUAAGACAGCAUGAGAUAGUUUACAGUAAUAAAAAAGACAGAUAAAAGAAGACAUUUUAAAUUGAGAAAUAUUCUACUUUGAUGACCCUAGCUGACUCAUGCAACAGUUAGUAGUUAAAAGAUUCAUCAACUUUGCCCAAACUGCUGUGUAUAUAUAUAGUGCAGCAAGGAAUGUUCUUAAACCAUCAACAAAAAACAUAAUAAUAUCUCAGUUACCUUCACAAUAUAGCAAAUCUCUUCAAAAUCAGAAGUCACAAUGAAGAACUUACUCGGUAGAAAUGAGGUGGGUGUUCCCAUGAGUUCAGCAGUAUACUCAUUUGAACGGCAGCCAAAAAGACUACUGUCUCUAUCUGCUUGCCAAGACCAUCUUCCAUCUGCAACUCUAAAGCACUUGUCGAAAAUAAAGCAAAGUGAGUAUUUUACCUCGAAGGAUAAUCAUUUUGUUCUUGUAUUAGUUAUAAAGAGUAUUAAUGACCCUAGAAGAAGAGAUCAUUAAAAUUAUAUAUUCUUGAAUAUGCAGGAAAAUCUGUAAUUAGUAAGAUGAACAAACUUGGAGAAAGGAUGGACUGUCUUGCACAAGGUAUCCGCGAGCAUGGUGAGCACUUAUAUUCAUGAUGAAAACUUAAAAAGAACAAUCGAAAAUUUACCAAGACAAUAUAUUAUUUAAGUUUAAAACUAGUAUUUCGAAGUUGAAAUUGUGUGCGGACAUGAGUUUACUUCGAAAAGUAAAGGUUGAAGAAUUGUGAAUGAAAACAAUCAUCCCACAAGAAAAAUUCCUAGAACAAGUUUUUAAAUAAUUUUACCACUAUUUCANNNNNNNNNNNNNNNNNNNNNNNNNNNNNNNNNNNNNNNNNNNNNNNNNNNNNNNNNNNNNNNNNNNNNNNNNNNNNNNNNNNNNNNNNNNNNNNNNNNNNNNNNNNNNNNNNNNNNNNNNNNNNNNNNNNNNNNNNNNNNNNNNNNNNNNNNNNNNNNNNNNNNNNNNNNNNNNNNNNNNNNNNNNNNNNNNNNNNNNNNNNNNNNNNNNNNNNNNNNNNNNNNNNNNNNNNNNNNNNNNNNNNNNNNNNNNNNNNNNNNNNNNNNNNNNNNNNNNNNNNNNNNNNNNNNNNNNNNNNNNNNNNNNNNNNNNNNNNNNNNNNNNNNNNNNNNNNNNNNNNNNNNNNNNNNNNNNNNNNNNNNNNNNNNNNNNNNNNNNNNNNNNNNNNNNNNNNNNNNNNNNNNNNNNNNNNNNNNNNNNNNNNNNNNNNNNNNNNNNNNNNNNNNNNNNNNNNNNNNNNNNNNNNNNNNNNNNNNNNNNNNNNNNNNNNNNNNNNNNNNNNNNNNNNNNNNNNNNNNNNNNNNNNNNNNNNNNNNNNNNNNNNNNNNNNNNNNNNNNNNNNNNNNNNNNNNNNNNNNNNNNNNNNNNNNNNNNNNNNNNNNNNNNNNNNNNNNNNNNNNNNNNNNNNNNNNNNNNNNNNNNNNNNNNNNNUCAAGUACUUCAAGCAGCUAAGAAGACAACAUAUUUUCCUUUCUUUUUUCCUUUUUUUUUCUUAUUACACCCAUUCAUCAAUGUAAAAUGUUGAUGAAAAAUGAAUGUACAGAUCUCUUCAAACUUGUAAUUAGUUUCAUUGUUCAAAGGAGAUUUUAGGUUUCUUAGUGAUUGAGCCGUAGCUGUUAACACAAAUGUAUAGACUUAUUGUAAAAGUAAUGCAGUCAGAAGGCUAAUUCAUCUUUUGGUACUUGGCAUAGUCAUCACUUCCUAGCAGAUCGUAAUGCUCCUCAAAAGAAAUAUUUAAAAUAUUAUGGUAAGUUCCCAACAAAGGGAGCUCCCCUUGAUAAUAGAAACACAUUAAAUAACAGAUGGUAACAGGUAACAAAAGCAACAAUCUACAUGAAUAAGACUAAUACUACGACGGAUAUGGUGCUCCCAUCUACCACCAAGCCUAAUCCUAUCAAAAAGCAAGACAACGCUCUACUGCCUACUAACCUUCUACCCUAAUCUACGACCUUCAUACCCUUCUAUCUAAGGUCAUGUCUUCAGUAAGUUGAAGUUGCACUAUGUCCUAUCAGAUCACCUCUCCCCAAUACUUCUUUGGUCUACCUUUGCCUCUCCUCGAACCCACUAUAUCCAACUUCUCACACCUCUUCAUUGGGGCAUAUACACAUCUCCUUUUCAAAUGUCCAAACUAUCUUAGUCAUGCUUCCCUCAUCUUCUUCACCAUUGAGGCCACUCCCACCUUGUCCCUGAUAUCCUCAUUCCUAAUUUAUCGCUCAUAGUAUGCUCAUACAUCCAUCUCAACAUUCUCAUUUUCGCAACUUGCAUCUUCUUAGCAUGAGAGUUCUUGACUGACCAAAACGCAACCCAUACAACAAAGUCAGUCUAACCACCCCUCUAUAGAACUUACCUUUAAGUUUUGAUAGUACCUUUUCAUCACACAAGACUCUGGAGGCAAGCCUCAAUAUCUUCCCCAUAGUACCAAUAUGAUGUGUGACAUCAUUGUCGAUCUCCCCAAUUUCUUAGAUAAAAGAUCCAAAAUACUGAAAAUUUCUCUCUCUCUUGGGGAUAGCCUGUAUAUCAAGCCUCAGUUCCGUGCUUGCCUCAUGCGUUGCAUCACUGAAUUCUCACACCAAAUAUUCUAUUUUGUUCCAACUCAACAUGGACCCCUUAGACUCCAGAGUUUGUCUCUACACCUCCAAACAAAUGUUUACUCGGCCACGAGUCUCAUCAAUCAGUACUAUGUCAUAUACCAAUAAUAAACAUCAUCACACCUCACCAUGAAUAUGCUGCAUCAAUUCAUCAAUCACCAAGGAAAAUAGAAACGAGUUAAGUGUUGAUCCCUGGUGCAAUGCCAUCUCGACUAGAAAGUGCUUUGAGUCUGCUCCCACUAUUCUUACCCGAGUCUUGGCUCUAUUAGUUAUGUCCUUCAUCACCCUAAUGUAAGCCACUAGUACACUUUGGCCUGCCAACAUCUACAUAGGACUUCCCUCGAGACUUAUCUUCUGUUUUUCGAAGUCAGUAGACACCAUAUGUAAGUCCCUUUACCAUUCUCUGUACUUCUCCACCAGUUAACUCACAAGAUGAAUGGUUUCUGAGUAAGUUUGUAAUAUUUGGAGGGCUUAAAUUGAACACACAUAUGUCUGAGAAGAAUAUUGACUUCUCCGAAAGUUAGCAUAAGAUAGCUUGCAAUAUACUAGGCACUCUUUCUUUUUCAAUGUUGUUUCCUAUUUUUCUAACAGAAAAUACAAUCACUUUUUGUUCUUAAAUUACCUUCUAAAAAUACGUGACAUUUCUCUCAUGAUUUUUAAAACGCAAAAGUUGGUCAAGAAGAAAUUAAGUUAAAUCACUCAAAAAAAAUUAUAUCAUUUGUCAUGCAUGAGUGGUAUAUUCCACAUAAAGUCAGAAAUGGCCUACAAAUCCUGCCUUUAAACCUCAAGAUGAGAUGACACAAAAGGUGAGAUAAGGUAACAAGUUGAAAUAUUUGAAUGGUUACUUUUUCCCACUUGCCUGAUUUAUUGGGCAACAAAUCAAAGUUCAUGGAUGACUCAUUCAUGAUCAACAGCCACAACUUAACUUUAAUGUAAUAUAUAAAUCCGUGUCAUUAUAUUGUCAACCUUGAUCAUACAAGACUAAUAAAACUAACUUGAGAUAAUAUUACUAUACACCAAAAGCCUUUUCUUACUUUUACUCAACUUGUAAAAGCAGCUUACAUCAGAAAGCAAAUCUUCCAACUCAAAAGUUGACAACACCACAUGUGCACACAAAUCUUGAUAAUAAAAUAAGACAGCAUGAGAUAGCUUACUGUAAUUAGAAAGACAGAUAAAAGAAGACAUUUUCAAAACCUUUGUAGAAAAUUGAGAAAUAUUCUAUUUUGAUGACCCAUAGCUGACUCAUGCAACAGUUAGUAGUUAAAAGAUUCAUCAACUUGUCCCAAACUGCUGUGUAUAUAUAUACUGCCGCAAGAAUGUUCUUAAACCAUCAACCAAGAACAUAAUAAUAUCUCAGUUACCUUCACAAUAUAGCAAAUCUCUUCAAAAUCAAAAGUCACAAUGAAGAACUUCCUCAGUGGAAAUGAGGUUGGUGUUCCCAUGAGUUCAGCAGUAUGCUCAUUUGAACGGCAGCAAAAAAGACUACUGUCUCUAUCUGCCUGCCAAGACCAUCUUCCAUCUGCAACUUUAAAACACUUGCCUAAAAUAAAGCAAAGUGAGUAUUUCCCCUCGAAGAAUAAUCGACUUGUUCUUUAUUAGUUAUAAAGAGUAUUAAUGACCCUCUAAGAAGAGAUCAUUAAAAUUAAAUAUUCUUGAAUAUGCAGGAAAAUCUGUAAUUAGUAAGAUGAACAAACUAGGAGAAAGGAUGGACUGUAUUGUACAAGGCAUCCGCGAGCAUGGUGAGCACUUAUAUUCAUGAUGAAGACUUAAAAAGAACAAUAAAAUUUUUACAGAGACAAUCAUUUGUUUAAGUCGAAAAUUAGUAUUUUGAAGUUGAAAUUGUGUACGUCCAUCAGGAGGAAAUGAAAAAAGUUAAAGUAUUGUGAAUGAAAACCAUCAUCCCACUAGAAACACUCCUUACACAAGUUUUUUUAUUACUUUCACCACUAUUGCAAAUAUUUAUAAAUAUGGCGCCAAACAUAAACUUGCAAAUAAUGACAUUUUGCAAGUGAAAUCAUGGCCAAACACAAGUGGCAAUAUAAACAACAACAGAUAAAGGGAGCCAAGAUGUACAAAAUUUUGUGCAAUAAGCACUAUUAAUAUGUAUGACAGAAAGUACUGAUUGUAAAGUCCUUAAUUUUCAACUUUAAUUGUGCAGUGAGCCUUAGUCCAAAUCUAACGGAAACUGUGAGGGGAAAAUUGAGCCUUGGAGCAAAAAAUUCUUCAAGUAGGAGGGUUGGAGAAAAUAUUCAAGCAGAAGUUUAGUGUUAACGAUGAUGAAGACCUAUUGAAUGUUUCUCAAUGCUAUUUAUCAACUACCGCUCGUCCAAUAGCAGGCCUCCUCUUCAUCUCUACCGAUAAGAUUGCUUUCUGCAGUGAGAGAUCAAUAAAGUUCUUAUCUCCAACUGGAAAGUUGCUUAGAAUCUACUAUAAGGUACCACUCUGCUCCAUUUUUCUUCCAACUCUUAAUUUGUAUCCACGCAAAGCAUAAUCUAAUAAGCCGGUUCACAAUUGCAGGUAUCGAUCCCAAUAAGUAAGACAAUGAAAGCAAAAGAGAGUGAAAAUAGGGAAAAACCAUCACAGAAGUAUAUACAAGUAAUUACAGAGGAUGAUUUUGAGUUCUGGUUUAUGGGAUUCCUUAAUCAUCAAAAGACUCUGAGAUAUCUGCACCAGGCAAUUUCAAGUACUUCAAGCAGCUAACAAGACAACAUAUUUUCUUUUCUUUUUUCAUUUUCUUUCUUAUUACACCCAUUCAUCAAUGUAAAAUGUUGAUGGAAAAUGAAUGUACAGAUCUCUUCAAACUUGUAAUUAGCUCCAUUGUUCAAAGGAGUUUUAGGUUUCUUAGUCUUUG
rnacentral:lncRNA from 1 species